AAAAAUAAAGGAGACACAAAUUUAACGUGGUUCGGUCAACUUGACUUACAUCCACCACCAAAAGAAAGAACAACUUUACUAAACACCAAAGGAAUAAAAGAGACUACAAAAACACAAAAGAGAGUAUAAAAUUAAAGCAAUUAAAUACUCUAAUAUCCCAAAUACCCAAAAGAAUAACCUCACAAAUAUCAUUCCAAAAAAAAAAUUCACUCAAAGUAUUUUCCAACACAUCUCUCUCACAAACACUCUCUACAAAGAAGAAAACAAACACAACUACAUCUUCUCAAAUUGGUGCGUCGAAGGCAAAGAACUCUCCUCUAUUUGUAG
rnacentral:lncRNA from 1 species